GGGAAUGUGGUGUAAUGGUAGCACACUUGAUUUGGGGUCAAGAAGAGUGGUUCAAAUCCAACAUUUCCG
rnacentral:tRNA from 1 species